UGCCUGCUAGGCAAUUGUUCUGCUGCUAAGCUACAUCUCUAGGACCAGCACAGCCUCUCAGGACGCAGAUGUAGAAAUUCUCACAGGUUUCCUUGACAUUUGGACAGUACAAAGGGAGAGUUCUUCGUUCAAGAGGAGAAGACCCCGGAAUCUAACUGCAGAGGGAGAGGCGAGCAAGCAACCCAGAACUUGAAACUCUGUCCUGCUUCCCAUAAAGGCUGUACAAAGUGGCGUUCCUAUCAAUGCUGUCUAUAAGCAUCCAGAUGAAAACCACCUAAGGUGUAAUGGACCCCUAUGGAACUUCCUGGAGAACAUAAAGAGAAGGAAAAUGUGACCUACAUUUAUUCUGUGGGAUUUGAGUUCACAACCGUGGCAUGGAGCAAAGGGGGAGAGAUUACUCGGAGUCAAUGUGCAAUUCAAAGUCCAAGAAGGCCCAGAGGGACUGCCCGUCACGAGACCCUGCAGCGUGAGAGAGUCUCAUAAAGACAGCCCUGAACUGAAGCUUCUGUGGCUUUUUGUUGAUAGUACCAGGAAGCAUGGAUGAAGGACAAAGGAGGGACGUUGGUGCAGGAAUUCAUUAUGAUCUGAAGUUACAAGGAAGAUGGCAGUGCGUCAGGACAGAAAGCCGAAAAGUAUUGUGAAUUCCUUUGUUUUCUUAUCUGGACUGGUGGCAUGAUAAAGACUCUCAUCUCAGUAGAGCAAUUUCAAGGAGAUAAAUUCUUCUCACCUUCGGUGUUUUGUAAAGAAUUUCUUAUGUGCAGCAAGAUGCCCCAGAAGAGUUUGGUUGGAAGCUGCUUCAUGGGGAAAUAUGCAGGUCUUUGAAGGGUGAAAAGUUGCCUUCAGUCUUCUUGGGUCAAGGAGCACAAGUUUUGGUAUCAGGGAUCGAACUCGGGUCCUUGCUCUUUCGAGGCAGGAGGUGGAACCACUGAGCUAAAUCCCCGGCCACAUGUUUUGAUUAUGACAUAUAUUACUUCAUUUCUGACCUGCCUUGGUUUUCUAUCUCCUGCCAAUCGAGGUGCUUUAAUGACCUGUGCUGUUAUGUUAUGAUUCCUUCGGGGAAUGCCUGCUGGAUACACAUCUGCUAAAAUGUUUAGCACACUGAAUGGCAUAACAUGGAUGACACAUAGUUUUUGCUAACUGCACUAUUAUGUCCUGGGAGCAAGUCACAUUACUCUCACUGGAAAGAUCAGGAAACCGAGGCCCAGAGAGAUGAGCUGUUCAAAGUUACUCAGCUGGGGAGUGAUGUAGCUGUGAUUCAUUCAAAUGCAGGGACAAGCAGAUUUUUUUCUUGCUUCUGGUUUAGUUCUACAAUCGACAUUGUGGUGUGGAUUAAAGAAUUUCUCAAAAUGCUCCCAGGCACAACAUCCUUGCUUUUGAAUAUCUGCAGAUCUCUAAGAACAUCUAUAGAGAUACAUAUGUGUGUUCCUAAUUAUAUACAUUUCAAGUACGCAUAAGGGAAAUGUCAUUGUCUGAUC